CAGCAACAAAUCGCUUCUUCUUCUGGCGACUAAUCUCCCCAAACUGCCUUCCCGCCAGCUAGAAUGAAAACCGCUAGCGGGAUGUCACUCAGAGCACUUCGUUUUUCUGAAGUCGCCCAAAGAUGCCUCACGGGGAAACCAAAAAAACUAAGCGAUCCGGCGAUUUUCAUUCUAGCCAGUGGGGGGCAGUUAGUCACCGCGAAAAAGAGAUUUGUAGCUGGGCGACUAAUCUUCCCAAAUAUGACUGUGUAAUAGUCUAAUUCAAAUUCUUACAGGAACAGUAAAUGAUACAUUUUGAAAUUCAAAUUUAGACUACUAGUCGAUAGUUACACUAUAAUAAACUCGUAAUUUGAAUUUAAAAGAUUUAAAAAUUCGAAUUUUCUUAGAUAAAUCUGUCUCAAAGGUGAACAGCCCCUUUAAAUAAACCCAAUAGGCUGGUUUUGCCUCCAAUAAGGA